rnacentral:rRNA from 4 species
CCUGGUCGGACAUCAGGAGGUUAGUGCAAUGGCAUAAGCCAGCUUGACUGCGAGCGUGACGGCGCGAGCAGGUGCGAAAGCAGGUCAUAGUGAUCCGGUGGUUCUGAAUGGAAGGGCCAUCGCUCAACGGAUAAAAGGUACUCCGGGGAUAACAGGCUGAUACCGCCCAAGAGUUCAUAUCGACGGCGGUGUUUGGCACCUCGAUGUCGGCUCAUCACAUCCUGGGGCUGAAGUAGGUCCCAAGGGUAUGGCUGUUCGCCAUUUAAAGUGGUACGCGAGCUGGGUUUAGAACGUCGUGAGACAGUUCGGUCCCUAUCUGCCGUGGGCGCUGGAGAACUGAGGGGGGCUGCUCCUAGUACGAGAGGACCGGAGUGGACGCAUCACUGGUGUUCGGGUUGUCAUGCCAAUGGCACUGCCCGGUAGCUAAAUGCGGAAGAGAUAAGUGCUGAAAGCAUCUAAGCACGAAACUUGCCCCGAGAUGAGUUCUCCCUGAGACUUAGAGUCUCCUGAAGGAACGUUGAAGACGACGACGUUGAUAGGCCGGGUGUGUAAGCGCAGCGAUGCGUUGAGCUAACCGGUACUAAUGAACCGUGAGGCUUAACCUUACAA